rnacentral:rRNA from 1 species
CCUACGAGAGGCAGCAGUGAGGAAUAUUGGUCAAUGGGCGCGAGCCUGAACCAGCCAAGUCGCGUGAGGGAUGAAGGUUCUAUGGAUCGUAAACCUCUUUUAUAAGGGAAUAAAGUGUGGGACGUGUCCUAUUUUGUAUGUACCUUAUGAAUAAGGAUCGGCUAACUCCGUGCCAGCAGCCGCGGUAAUACGGAGGAUACGUGCGUUAUCCGGAUUUAUUGGGUUUAAAGGGUGCGUAGGCGGCCUUUUAAGUCAGCGGUGAAAGUCUGUGGCUCAACCAUAGGAUUGCCGUUGAAACUGGGGGUCUUGAGUAUGUUUGAGGCAGGCGGAAUGCGGGGUGUAGCGGUGAAAUGCUUAGAGAUCACGCAGAACCCCGAGUGCGAAGGCAGCCUGCCAAGCCAUGACUGACGCUGAUGCACGAAAGCGUGGGGAUCAAACAGGAUUAGAUACCCUUGUAGUC